ACCUGAGACAUUACCUGGAUAUAACCUGGUUAUAACCUAAGAUAUUACCUAGAUAUAACGUGGUUAUAACCUGGUUAUAACCUGGUUAUAACCUGAGACAUUAC